GUGCUCACUUCAGCAGCACAUAUACUAACAUUGGAAUGAUACAGGGAAGAUUAACAUAGCACUACAUAAGGAUGACAUGCAAAUUCAUGAAGCAUACCAUAUUUUA